UACGUAGGGUGCGAGCGUUAAUCGGAAUUACUGGGCGUAAAGUGUGCGCAGGCGGCCAUGCAAGUCGAGUGUGAAAGCCCCGGGCUUAACUUGGGAAUUGGGCUCGAAACUACGUGGCUGGAGUGUGGCAGAGGAAGGUGGAAUUCCACGUGUAGCGGUGAAAUGCGUAGAGAUGUGGAGGAACACCAAUGGCGAAGGCAGCCUUCUGGGCCAACACUGACGCUGAGGAGCGAAAGCAUGGGGAGCGAACAGG
rnacentral:rRNA from 1 species